rnacentral:rRNA from 1 species
GGGGAAUAUUGGACAAUGGGGGGAACCCUGAUCCAGCGAUGCCGCGUGUGUGAAGAAGGCCUUAUGGUUGUAAAGCACUUUAAGCGAGGAGGAGGCUCUUUUGGUUAAUACCCAAGAUGAGUGGACGUUACUCGCAGAAUAAGCACCGGCUAACUCUGUGCCAGCAGCCGCGGUAAUACAGAGGGUGCGAGCGUUAAUCGGAUUUACUGGGCGUAAAGCGUGCGUAGGGGGCUUUUUAAGUCGGAUGUGAAAUCCCCGGCUUAACUUGGGAAUGGCAUUGGAUACUGGGAGGUUAGGGUAUGGGAGAGGUUGGAAGAAUUCCAGGUGAAGCGGGGAAAGGCUUAAAAACCUGGAGGAAUACCGAGGGCGAAGGCAGCAAUCUGGCCUAAUACUGACGCUGAGUAACGAAAGCAUGGGAGCAAACA